UGGGGAAUUUUGGACAAUGGGGGAAACCCUGAUCCAGCCAUCCCGCGUGUGCGAUGAAGGCCUUCGGGUUGUAAAGCACUUUUGGCAGGAAAGAAACGUCAUGGGUUAAUACCCCGUGAAACUGACGGUACCUGCAGAAUAAGCACCGCCUAACUACGUGCCAGCAGCCGCGGUAAUACGUAGGGUGCAAGCGUUAAUCGGAAUUACUGGGCGUAAAGCGUGCGCAGGCGGUUCGGAAAGUGAGAUGUGAAAUCCCAGAGCUCAACUUUGGCACUGCAGUUUUAACGGCCGGGUUAGAGUGUGUCAGAGGGGGGUGGAAUUCCGCGUGUAGCAGUGGAAUGCGUAGAUAUGCGGAGGAAAACCGAUGGGGAAGGCAGCCUCCUGGGAUAACACUGACGCUCAUGCACGAAAGCGUAGGGAGCAGACAGG
rnacentral:rRNA from 1 species